GACAGAGGGUGCAAACGUUGUUCGGAGUUACUGGGCGUAAAGGGUGUGUAGGCGGUUUUCUAAGUUUGGUGUGAAAUCUCCCGCUCAACCGGGAGGGUGCGCCGAAAACUGGGAGACUAGAGUGCGGGAUGGGAGAGUAGAAUUCCUGGUGUAGCGGUGAAAUGCGCAGAUAUCAGGAGGAACACCGGUGGCGAAGGCGGGUCUCUGGGCAACAACUGACGCUGAGGAGCGAAAGCGUGGGGAGCGAACAGG
rnacentral:rRNA from 1 species